CCUACGGUGUGCAGCAGUGGGGGAUAUUGGACAAUGGGGGGAACCCUGAUCCAGCGACGCCGCGUGAGUGAAGAAGUAUUUCGGUAUGUAAAGCUCUGUCAGCAGGGAAGAAAGCAAUGACGGUACCUGACCAAGAAGCCCCGGCUAACUACGUGCCAGCAGCCGCGGUAAUACGUAGGGGGCAAGCGUUAUCCGGAUUUACUGGGUGUAAAGGGAGCGUAGACGGCUGUGCAAGUCUGAAGUGAAAGCCCGUGGCUCAACCGCGGAACUGCUUUGGAAACUGUAUAGCUUUAGUACUGGAGAGGCAGGCGGAAUUCCUAGUGUAGCGGUGAAAUGCGUAGAUAUUAGGAGGAACACCAGUGGCGAAGGCGGCCUGCUGGACAGAAACUGACGUUGAGGCUCGAAAGCGUGGGGAGCAAACAGGAUUAGAUACCCCUGUAGUC
rnacentral:rRNA from 1 species